UGAAAGUUUGUUUUCAAACGAAAAAGUCUAAAACGCUUUCUUCCUUUCACACAUAUUUCCACUAAAAAAAACAACUUUUUGACCAUUCAACACAAUGCACAUGUCAAUUGCACAUCCCACACGGCCACACUUCCAAUAAAACCACCAAUAGAACCAGCACACUGCUCAUGCGUAAUUGUGUAUCCUCAUCAUCAACCUUCAUUCCUUCACUACCAUGGCUCUUCUCUGCAUCAGCAUGGUGCUCCUCAUCCUAUUGGCACCAUGCGCCACUUCACUCACCCCUCCAUACAACAACACAGACCUCGCUGCACUGCUCGACUUCAAGGAGCAAGUCAAGGACCCUAAUGGCAUCCUUGCCAGCAAUUGGACUGCCAGUGCACCCUUCUGCUCAUGGAUUGGGGUCUCAUGCGACAGCAGCGGGAAGUGGGUCACUGGGCUUGAGUUUGAAGACAUGGCACUUGAAGGAACCAUCAGCCCGCAGAUUGGCAAUCUCUCCUUCCUCUCCAGCCUUGUACUCAGCAACACCACCCUCAUCGGACCUGUGCCAACCGAGCUCGAUAGGCUGCCCCGACUGCAAACUCUUGUUCUUUCAUACAACAGCCUGUCAGGUACCAUCCCCUCCAUCCUUGGCAACCUCACAAGGCUCGAGUCUCUUUAUCUUAAUAGCAACAAAUUCUUUGGGGGGAUUCCACAAGAGUUGGCAAAUCUUAACAAUCUUCAGAUAUUAAGAUUGUCAGAUAACGACUUGAGCGGACCAAUACCACAAGGCCUGUUCAAUAACACACCCAACCUGAGUAGGAUACAACUCGGGUCAAAUAGGCUAACAGGAGCAAUUCCUGGUAGCGUUGGAUCAUUGUCGAAGCUGGAGAUGCUAGUCCUAGAAAAUAAUCUUCUCUCAGGCUCCAUGCCUGCUGCUAUCUUCAAUAUGUCCUACCUGCAAGCCAUAGCAGUCACACGGAACAAUCUCAGAGGUCCGAUUCCUGGAAACGAGAGCUUUCACCUCCCUAUGUUGGAAUUUUUCUCUCUCGGUGAAAAUUGGUUCGAUGGACCUAUCCCAUCGGGCCCUUCCAAAUGUCAAAACCUUGAUUUGUUCUCCCUAGCUGUAAAUAAUUUCACAGGUUCUGUGCCAUCAUGGCUGGCGACAAUGCCAAACCUCACUGCAAUUUACUUGUCAACCAACGAGCUCACUGGAAAGAUCCCAGUUGAACUGAGCAAUCAUACUGGGCUGCUUGCUUUGGACCUUAGCGAGAACAAUCUAGAGGGAGAAAUACCACCAGAGUUUGGACAGCUGAGAAACCUCAGGUAUAUAAGCUUUGCAAACAACCAAAUAACAGGUACCAUUCCCGAAUCUAUAGGCAAUCUCUGACCUCACCACAAUAGAUUUGUUCGUAAACGGAUUAACUGGAUCGGUGCCAAUGUCAUUUGGGAACUUGUGGAAUCUUCGUGACAUCUAUGUUGAUGGGAACCAGCUCAGUGGGAACCUUGAAUUCCUAGCUGCAUUAUCAAAUUGCAGUAAUCUGAACACAAUUGGCAUGUCAUACAAUAGAUUUGAAGGGAGUUUACUACCCUGUGUUGGAAACCUUAGCACACUGAUCGAAAUUUUUGUAGCAGACAACAAUAGGAUCACUGGAAGCAUCCCCAGUACAUUGGCUAAGCUUACCAACCUACUGAUGCUAUCUCUCAGAGGAAACCAGCUAAGCGGGAUGAUCCCCACGCAGAUCACAUCAAUGAACAACCUCCAAGAACUCAAUCUCUCCAACAACACCUUGUCUGGCACCAUCCCAGUAGAAAUCACUGGAUUAACAAGUCUAGUUAAGCUGAAUCUUGCUAACAAUCAACUUGUCAGUCCUAUUCCAAGUACCAUCGGUAGCCUAAACCAGUUACAAGUUGUGGUAUUGUCCCAAAACUCGUUGUCUUCAACAAUACCAAUUAGUUUGUGGCAUCUUCAGAAACUUAUUGAGCUUGAUUUAUCACAGAACUCUUUGAGUGGUUCUCUACCUGCUGAUGUUGGAAAACUGACAGCAAUUACUAAGAUGGAUCUAUCAAGAAACCAGCUAUCAGGUGAUAUACCAUUUUCUUUUGGUGAACUCCAGAUGAUGAUCUAUAUGAAUCUAUCCAGUAAUCUACUCCAAGGUUCAAUACCAGAUUCAGUUGGCAAGUUACUAAGUAUUGAGGAGUUAGACCUUUCCUCCAAUGUGCUUUCGGGUGUCAUCCCAAAGUCCUUGGCCAAUCUCACUUAUCUUGCCAAUUUGAACCUAUCUUUCAAUAGACUGGAGGGUCAGAUACCAGAAGGAGGUGUGUUCUCAAACAUCACUGUCAAGUCAUUGAUGGGAAACAAGGCACUAUGUGGCCUUCCGAGCCAAGGAAUAGAAUCAUGCCAGAGCAAAACUCACUCAAGGUCAAUACAACGGCUACUAAAAUUCAUAUUACCUGCAGUUGUGGCAUUUUUUAUUUUAGCAUUUUGCUUGUGUAUGUUGGUAAGAAGGAAAAUGAAUAAGCCAGGAAAGAUGCCACUACCCUCAGAUGCAGACUUGCUGAAUUACCAGUUAAUCUCAUACCAUGAACUUGUCCGUGCAACAAGAAACUUCAGUGAUGAUAACCUGCUAGGGAGUGGAAGCUUUGGUAAAGUCUUCAAAGGCCAGCUAGAUGAUGAGUCCAUUGUCACAAUAAAGGUCCUAAACAUGCAACAGGAAGUAGCUUCCAAAAGCUUUGACACAGAGUGCCGCGUGUUACGAAUGGCUCAUCACCGCAACUUGGUGAGGAUUGUUAGCACUUGCUCUAAUCUUGACUUCAAAGCACUAGUUCUUGAGUAUAUGCCCAAUGGAAGUUUGGAUAAUUGGUUGUACUCAAAUGAUGGGCUGCACCUCAGUUUCAUCCAAAGGCUCAGUGUCAUGCUGGAUGUUGCGAUGGCAAUGGAGUAUCUACACCACCAUCACUUUGAGGUUGUCCUGCAUUUUGAUUUAAAGCCAAGCAAUAUUUUGCUUGACAAUGAUAUGGUUGCACAUGUUGCCGACUUCGGAAUUUCCAAGUUGCUGUUUGGAGAUGACAACUCUAUCACAUUAACGAGUAUGCCAGGCACUGUAGGAUACAUGGCACCAGAGUUAGGAUCAACAGGAAAAGCAUCACGCAGAAGUGACGUAUACAGCUACGGAAUUGUCCUCCUCGAAGUCUUCACAAGGAAAAAACCAACUGAUCCAAUGUUCGUCAAUGAGUUGACCUUCAGGCAAUGGAUUAGUCAAGCAUUCCCAUAUGAGCUCUCAAAUGUCGCCGACUGUAGUCUACAACAAGAUGGUCAUACGGGUGGUACUGAGGAUUCGAGUAAGCUAUCUGAGGAUUCAAUCAUCUUGAAUAUCUGUCUAGCAUCCAUAAUUGAGUUGGGCUUGCUUUGCUCAAGAGAUGCACCUGAUGACAGAGUUCCAAUGAAUGAAGUAGUUAUCAAGUUAAACAAGAUCAAGUCAAAUUACUACUCUCUGUGGAAGCAAUGGAGCUCACCUGGUGAAAUAUCCUGAAAUACCCUCUUUAGUGCAUCUGGAAACUAAUCAAAAUGGUUCAGAAGAAAAGAACUCUGAGGAAUUAUAAUAGGUUUUUACAAUUGACAAGUCCAUAUAAAAGGCUUUAUGUAAGUAGUAUCAGUUGCAAAUUGCAAAUCUGAGCCACACGCUUGUAAUGAAUCAAAAGAGAGGAAUAGACAUAUCUUUUCAUUAAA